rnacentral:rRNA from 1 species
UACGAAGGGGGCUAGCGUUGUUCGGAAUUACUGGGCGUAAAGCGCACGUAGGCGGAUUUGUUAGUCAGGGGUGAAAUCCCGGGGCUCAACCUCGGAACUGCCUUUGAUACUGCAAAUCUCGAGUCCGGAAGAGGUGAGUGGAAUUCCUAGUGUAGAGGUGAAAUUCGUAGAUAUUAGGAAGAACACCAGUGGCGAAGGCGGCUCACUGGUCCGGUACUGACGCUGAGGUGCGAAAGCGUGGGGAGCAAACAGGAUUAGAUACCCCCGUAGUCC